rnacentral:rRNA from 1 species
UCAGUGGCGAGCUUAACCGAAUAGGGGAGGCGUAGCGAAAGCGAGUCUUAAUAGGGCGUUUAGUCGCUGGGUAUAGACCCGAAACCGGGCGAUCUAUCCAUGGGCAGGUUGAAGGUUAGGUAACACUGACUGGAGGACCGAACCGACUACCGUUGAAAAGUUAGCGGAUGACCUGUGGAUCGGAGUGAAAGGCUAAUCAAGCUCGGAGAUAGCUGGUUCUCCUCGAAAGCUAUUUAGGUAGCGCCUCAUGUAUCACUCCAGGGGGUAGAGCACUGUUUCGGCUAGGGGGUCAUCCCGACUUACCAAACCGAUGCAAACUCCGAAUACCUGGAAGUGCCGAGCAUGGGAGACACACGGCGGGUGCUAACGUCCGUCGUGAAAAGGGAAACAACCCAGACCGUCAGCUAAGGUCCCAAAGUCAUGGUUAAGUGGGAAACGAUGUGGGAAGGCUUAGACAGCUAGGAGGUUGGCUUAGAAGCAGCCAUCCUUUAAAGAAAGCGUAAUAGCUCACUAGUCGAGUCGGCCUGCGCGGAAGAUGUAACGGGGCUCAAACCAUGCACCGAAGCUACGGGUAUCACCUUAAGGUGAUGCGGUAGAGGAGCGUUCUGUAAGCCUGUGAAGGUGAGUUGAGAAGCUUGCUGGAGGUAUCAGAAGUGCGAAUGCUGACAUGAGUAACGACAAUGCGAGUGAAAAACUCGCACGCCGAAAGACCAAGGUUUCCUGCGCAACGUUAAUCGACGCAGGGUUAGUCGGUCCCUAAGGCGAGGCUGAAAAGCGUAGUCGAUGGAAAACAGGUUAAUAUUCCUGUACUUCCAGUUAUUGCGAUGGAGGGACGGAGAAGGCUAGGCCAGCUUGGCGUUGGUUGUCCAAGUUUAAGGUGGUAGGCUGAAAUCUUAGGCAAAUCCGGGAUUUCAAGGCCGAGAGCUGAUGACGAGUUGCCUUUAGGCGACGAAGUGGUUGAUGCCAUGCUUCCAAGAAAAGCUCCUAAGCUUCAGAUAACUGGGAACCGUACCCCAAACCGACACAGGUGGUCGGGUAGAGAAUACCAAGGCGCUUGAGAGAACUCGGGUGAAGGAACUAGGCAAAAUGGCACCGUAACUUCGGGAGAAGGUGCGCCGGCGAGGGUGAAGGACUUGCUCCGUAAGCCCAUGCCGGUCGAAGAUACCAGGCCGCUGCGACUGUUUAUUAAAAACACAGCACUCUGCAAACACGAAAGUGGACGUAUAGGGUGUGACGCCUGCCCGGUGCCGGAAGGUUAAUUGAUGGGGUUAGCGCAAGCGAAGCUCUUGAUCGAAGCCCCGGUAAACGGCGGCCGUAACUAUAACGGUCCUAAGGUAGCGAAAUUCCUUGUCGGGUAAGUUCCGACCUGCACGAAUGGCGUAACGAUGGCGGCGCUGUCUCCACCCGAGACUCAGUGAAAUUGAAAUCGCUGUGAAGAUGCAGUGUAUCCGCGGCUAGACGGAAAGACCCCGUGAACCUUUACUAUAGCUUUGCACUGGACUUUGAGCUUGCUUGUGUAGGAUAGGUGGGAGGCUUUGAAGUGGGGACGCCAGUUCUCAUGGAGCCAUCCUUGAAAUACCACCCUGGCAACCUUGAGGUUCUAACUCAGGUCCGUGAUCCGGAUCGAGGACAGUGUAUGGUGGGUAGUUUGACUGGGGCGGUCUCCUCCCAAAGAGUAACGGAGGAGUACGAAGGUGCGCUCAGACCGGUCGGAAAUCGGUCGCAGAGUAUAAAGGCAAAAGCGCGCUUGACUGCGAGACCCACACGUCGAGCAGGUACGAAAGUAGGUCUUAGUGAUCCGGUGGUUCUGUAUGGAAGGGCCAUCGCUCAACGGAUAAAAGGUACUCCGGGGAUAACAGGCUGAUACCGCCCAAGAGUUCAUAUCGACGGCGGUGUUUGGCACCUCGAUGUCGGCUCAUCACAUCCUGGGGCUGAAGCCGGUCCCAAGGGUAUGGCUGUUCGCCAUUUAAAGUGGUACGCGAGCUGGGUUUAGAACGUCGUGAGACAGUUCGGUCCCUAUCUGCCGUGGACGUUUGAGAUUUGAGAGGGGCUGCUCCUAGUACGAGAGGACCGGAGUGGACGAACCUCUGGUGUUCCGGUUGUCACGCCAGUGGCAUUGCCGGGUAGCUAUGUUCGGAAGAGAUAACCGCUGAAAGCAUCUAAGCGGGAAACUUGCCUCAAGAUGAGAUCUCACUGGGAUCUUGAAUCCCCUGAAGGGCCGUCGAAGACUACGACGUUGAUAGGUCGGGUGUGUAAGCGCUGUGAGGCGUUGAGCUAACCGAUACUAAUUGCCCGUGAGGCUUGACCAUAUAACACCCAAGCAAUU